AGAGUAACUUUUUAAAAGCAAUUUAACUUCUAAUUAAAAAAGUGUAAAAGUAUUACAUUACUCU
rnacentral:tRNA from 1 species